UAAUACAGAGGGUGCAAGCGUUGUUCGGAAUUACUGGGUGUAAAGCGCGCGCAGGCGGCUUCUUAAGUCUAUGGGUGAAAGACCGGGGCUCAACCCCGUGUCAGCCCGGGAUACUGGGGAGCUAGGGACAUGUAGGGGCGAGCGGAAUUCCGGGUGUAGCGGUGGAAUGCGUAGAGAUCCGGAAGAACACCUGGGGCGAAGGCGGCUCGCUGGGCAUGAUCCGACGCUGAGGCGCGAAAGCGUGGGGAGCGAACAGGAUUAGAUACCCUGGUAGUCCACGCCGUAAACGAUGGGCACUAGGUGCGGGGGGGAUCGGCCCUCUCCGUGCCGAAGCUAACGCGAUAAGUGCCCCGCCUGGGGAGUACGGCCGCAAGGCU
rnacentral:rRNA from 1 species